UACGGAGGGUGCAAGCGUUAUCCGGAAUCACUGGGUUUAAAGAGUGCGUAGGCGGUUAUGUAAGUCAGGGGUGAAAGGUCACAGCUUAACUGUGAGAUUGCCUUUGAAACUGUGUAACUUGAAUCAGAUAGAGGUUAGUGGAAUGCGACAUGUAGCGGUGAAAUGCAUAGAUAUGUCGUGGAAUACCGAUUGCGAAGGCAGCUAACUGGGUCUUGAUUGACGCUGAGGCACGAAAGCGUGGGGAGCGAACAGGA
rnacentral:rRNA from 1 species